UCGAACGAGAAAGCCCUUCGGGGUGAGUAGAGUGGCGAACGGGUGAGUAACACGUGGGCAACCUGCCCCUCGCAGGGGGAUAACCGAAGGAAACUCCGGCUAAUACCCCGUAAGCUUUCAGGGUCGCAUGGCUCUGUAAGGAAAGGUAGCUUCGGCCAUCCGGCGAGGGAUGGGCCCGCGGUGCAUUAGCUAGUUGGUGGGGUAAUGGCCCACCAAGGCGACGAUGCGUAGCUGGUCUGAGAGGAUGAUCAGCCACACUGGGACUGAGACACGGCCCAGACUCCUACGGGAGGCAGCAGCCAGGAAUCUUGGGCAAUGGGCGCAAGCCUGACCCAGCAACACCGUGUGGGCGAUGAAGGCCUUCGGGUCGUAAAGCCCUGUUGAUAGGGACGAAGGGCGAAGGGUUAAUAGCCCCUAGCCUGACGGUACCUUUCGAGGAAGCCCCGGCUAACUACGUGCCAGCAGCCGCGGUAAUACGUAGGGGGCGAGCGUUG
rnacentral:rRNA from 1 species